GUCCUGAUGGAGGUCUUUUAAGUAGAGAAAUUCAAUUUGGACCAUGAGGAAAUCAGAUUGUGACCACGUACAUCUACACAGUGUCCUUCACGCCUGCUGACGUUGAUAAAGCCGGUAUCACUGUAUAUGUACUUUGCACCGUGGAACACAGCUGAGUUCACAUUCUGAAUGAGUGGAGAGUGAUAAAGCCACGACGAGAUGCGGGUGUGGGUGCUAAUGUAUUACUCGUGAGCUAAAUGGCUGCAUGCUGUACACCGCGUUCUCUCUCAACGCACAAACAUACAAUUAAAAUCUGUAAAUCAGCA